rnacentral:antisense_RNA from 2 species
CUUCACCGAGCCGAGCAGCAGGGGCCGUUCCCGAUCCUGACCGUAGGUGGCGAGGAGCGCCUGCGCUUC